rnacentral:tRNA from 1 species
GCCGAAGUGGUGAAAUUGGUAGACACGCUAGGUUCAGGGUCUAGUCCCGUUAAAAGGAUAGGGGUUCGAGUCCCCUCUUCGGCACCA